rnacentral:rRNA from 1 species
AGAGUUUGAUCAUGGCUCAGGACGAACGCUGGCGGCGUGCCUAAUACAUGCAAGUCGAGCGGGACUCUUCGGAGUCCAGCGGCGGGCGGGUGAGUAACACGUGGGCAACCUGCCUGUAAGACUGGGAUAACACCGGGAAACCGGUGCUAAUACCGGAUAAUCCUUUCCCUCACAUGAGGGAAAGCUGAAAGGCGGUUUCGGCUGUCACUUACAGAUGGGCCCGCGGCGCAUUAGCUAGUUGGUGAGGUAACGGCUCACCAAGGCGACGAUGCGUAGCCGACCUGAGAGGGUGAUCGGCCACACUGGGACUGAGACACGGCCCAGACUCCUACGGGAGGCAGCAGUAGGGAAUCUUCCGCAAUGGACGAAAGUCUGACGGAGCAACGCCGCGUGAGCGAUGAAGGCCUUCGGGUCGUAAAGCUCUGUUGUCAGGGAAGAACAAGUAUCGGAGUAACUGCCGGUACCUUGACGGUACCUGACCAGAAAGCCACGGCUAACUACGUGCCAGCAGCCGCGGUAAUACGUAGGUGGCAAGCGUUGUCCGGAAUUAUUGGGCGUAAAGCGCGCAGGCGGUCCUUUAAGUCUGAUGUGAAAGCCCACGGCUCAACCGUGGAGGGUCAUUGGAAACUGGGGGACUUGAGUGCAGAAGAGGAAAGUGGAAUUCCACGUGUAGCGGUGAAAUGCGUAGAGAUGUGGAGGAACACCAGUGGCGAAGGCGACUUUCUGGUCUGUAACUGACGCUGAGGCGCGAAAGCGUGGGGAGCAAACAGGGAUUAGAUACCCUGGUAGUCCACGCCGUAAACGAUGAGUGCUAAGUGUUAGAGGGUUUCCGCCCUUUAGUGCUGCAGCUAACGCAUUAAGCACUCCGCCUGGGGGAGUACGGGCCGCAGGCUGAAACUCAAAGGAAUUGACGG